UACAGAGGUCCCGAGCGUUGUUCGGAUUCACUGGGCGUAAAGGGUGCGUAGGUGGCGUGGUAAGUCGGAUGUGAAAUCCCGGGGCUCAACCCCGGAACUGCAUUCGAUACUGCCAUGCUAGAGUACUGGAGAGGAGAUUGGAAUUUACGGUGUAGCAGUGAAAUGCGUAGAUAUCGUAAGGAAGACCAGUGGCGAAGGCGGAUCUCUGGACAGUUACUGACACUGAGGCACGGAAGGCCAGGGGAGCAAACGGG
rnacentral:rRNA from 1 species